rnacentral:rRNA from 1 species
ACUCCUGCGGUAGGCAGCAUUGGGGAAUAUUGGACAAUGGGCGCAAGCCUGAUCCAGCCAUGCCGCGUGAGUGAUGAAGGCCCUAGGGUUGUAAAGCUCUUUCACCGGUGAAGAUAAUGACGGUAACCGGAGAAGAAGCCCCGACUAACUUCGUGCCAGCAGCCGCGGUAAUACGAAGGGGGCUAGCGUUGUUCGGAUUUACUGGGCGUAAAGCGCACGUAGGCGGACUAUUAAGUCAGGGGUGAAAUCCCGGGGCUCAACCCCGGAACUGCCUUUGAUACUGGUAGUCUUGAGUUCGAGAGAGGUGAGUGGAAUUCCGAGUGUAGAGGUGAAAUUCGUAGAUAUUCGGAGGAACACCAGUGGCGAAGGCGGCUCACUGGCUCGAUACUGACGCUGAGGUGCGAAAGCGUGGGGAGCAAACAGGAUUAGAAACCCUGGUAGUCCC